AGGCAACUGCCAUUUUCACCAGUGAAGAGGACAAGUGAAGAGAUCGCACCAAAAUGACGAUGAGAAUAACCAGUAGGAUGGAGAAGAGAAGACCGACUAAAACUCCUAUGAUCAGGACAAGUUGAUCAUCGCUAGUUUCCCUUUGGUUCAGUUCUCUGGGAAUGAUACCCUCCGCUUGGGAUUCCUCGUGAAGGCUGGGAUGUUUCUGAAAGCUGUGGUCCAGCGCUAUAUGUAAGAUGUUUGUGCCGCGGUUACUUUCUACGCUGAUAUCUUGAGCCAAAUCUGGAACGCCGUUUGCUGAUCUUUUGGAAAUUGAGUGGCUGUGUGUUAGAGAGUGAUAAUCCAGGCUUCUUUUCCCAAUGCCUCGAUUGGCGUUCUCUCUGGAGCGGACGGUGUAGAUGGUGUGGAUGUACCAUUCUCUGCCUGCCGAAACCUGGAUGGAGUGUUACAGCAUUAGCAAUAACCCUUGUGUACUGUUCAAAUGGACUACCCUUGUUAUGUUUGUGGCUGUUUUUGCCCCAUUGACUUCAAUUACAACAAUGUUUUUUGAUUGGCCAAAUGAUCAUUCUACAUUGUUGGUGUUUUUCCCUGUUGGGAGGAGGUAAAACUUUUCAUUUUUAUUGUC
rnacentral:lncRNA from 1 species